rnacentral:rRNA from 1 species
CCGACGGUGAGGGGUGAAGGCUGGGGGCGCAAACCGGAUUAGAUACCCGGGUAGUCCCAGCAGUAAACGAUGCCAGCUAUGUGUUGCUGGAACCAUGGGUUCCAGCAGUGCCGAAGGGAAGCCGUGAAGCUGGCCACCUGGGAAGUACGGUCGCAAGGCUGAAACUUAAAGGAAUUGGCGGGGGAGUACCACAACCGGUGGAGCCUGCGGUUUAAUUGGAUACAACGCCGGGAAUCUUACCGGAGGGGACAGCAGUAUGAAGGCCAGGCUAAAGACCUUGCCAGAUCAGCUGAGAGGAGGUGCAUGGCCGUCGCCAGUUCGUACCGUGAGGCAUCCUGUUUAGUCAGGCAACGAUCGAGACCCGCAGUCUUAUUUGCCAGCAUGCCCUUUGGGGUGUAUGGGUACAAUAAGACGACCGCCAGCGCUAAGCUGGAGGAAGGAGCGGGCUACGGUAGGUCAGCAUGCCCCGAAUCCUCCGGGAUACACGCGGGCUACAAUGGUCAGGACAAAAGGUACCGACCUCGAAAGAGUGAGGUAAUCCACAAACCUGAUCUCAGUCCGGAUCGAAGGCUGCAACUCGCCUUCGUGAAGAUGGAAUCGGUAGUAAUCGUG